ACCGGCUUGCUGGAAGGCGUCGAGCGGCGGACGGGUGAGUAACACUUAGGAAUCUACCUAGUAGUGGGGGAUAGCUCGGGGAAACUCGAAUUAAUACCGCAUACGACCUACGGGAGAAAGGGGGCAACUUGUUGCUCUCGCUAUUAGAUGAGCCUAAGUCGGAUUAGCUAGUUGGUGGGGUAAAGGCCUACCAAGGCGACGAUCUGUAGCUGGUCUGAGAGGAUGAUCAGCCACACCGGGACUGAGACACGGCCCGGACUCCUACGGGAGGCAGCAGUGGGGAAUAUUGGACAAUGGGGGCAACCCUGAUCCAGCCAUGCCGCGUGUGUGAAGAAGGCCUUUUGGUUGUAAAGCACUUUAAGCAGUGAAGAAGACCUAACGGUUAAUACCCGUUAGCGAUGACAUUAGCUGCAGAAUAAGCACCGGCUAACUCUGUGCCAGCAGCCGCGGUAAUACAGAGGGUGCAAGCGUUAAUCGGAAUUACUGGGCGUAAAGCGAGCGUAGGUGGCUUGAUAAGUCAGAUGUGAAAUCCCCGGGCUUAACCUGGGAACUGCAUCUGAUACUGUUAGGCUAGAAUAGGUGAGAGGAAGGUAGAAUUCCA
rnacentral:rRNA from 1 species